rnacentral:rRNA from 1 species
AUACGGGGGUGCAAGCGUUACUCGGAAUUACUGGGCGUAAAGCGCGCGUAGGCGGAUUGUUAAGUCUCAUGUGAAAGCCCUGGGCGCAACCUGGGAACUGCAUGGGAUACUGGCAAUCUAGAAUACAGUAGAGGGGAGUGGAAUUUCAGGUGUAGCGGUGAAAUGCGUAGAGAUCUGAAGGAACAUCAGUGGCGAAGGCGACUACCUGGACUGAUAUUGACGCUGAGGUGCGAAAGCGUGGGGAGCAAACGGGAUUAGAAACCCCAGUAGUCC